CCUACGGGAGGCUGCAGUGAGGAAUAUUGGUCAAUGGGCGUAAGCCUGAACCAGCCAAGCCGCGUGAGGGAUGAAGGUUCUAUGGAUCGUAAACUUCUUUUAUAAGGGAAUAAAGUGUGGGACGUGUCCUGUUUUGUAUGUACCUUAUGAAUAAGGAUCGGCUAACUCCGUGCCAGCAGCCGCGGUAAUACGGAGGAUGCGAGCGUUAUCCGGAUUUAUUGGGUUUAAAGGGUGCGUAGGCGGCCUUUUAAGUCAGCGGUGAAAGUCUGUGGCUCAACCAUAGAAUUGCCGUUGAAACUGGGGGGCUUGAGUAUGUUUGAGGCAGGCGGAAUGCGUGGUGUAGCGGUGAAAUGCUUAGAUAUCACGCAGAACCCCGAUUGCGAAGGCAGCCUGCCAAGCCAUGACUGACGCUGAUGCACGAAAGCGUGGGGAUCAAACAGGAUUAGAUACCCUGGUAGUC
rnacentral:rRNA from 1 species